GACGAACGCUGGCGGCGUGCUUAACACAUGCCAGUCGAACGGAAAGGCCCUGCUUUUGUGGGGUGCUCGAGUGGCGAACGGGUGAGUAACACGUGAGUAACCUGCCCUUGACUUUGGGAUAACUUCAGGAAACUGGGGCUAAUACCGGAUAGGAUCUCCUGCUGCAUGGUGGGGGUUGGAAAGUUUCGGCGGUUGGGGAUGGACUCGCGGCUUAUCAGCUUGUUGGUGGGGUAGUGGCUUACCAAGGCUUUGACGGGUAGCCGGCCUGAGAGGGUGAACGGGGACAAUGGGACUGAGAUACGGACCAGACUGCAACGGGAGGCAGCAGUGGGGAAUAUUGCACAAUGGGCGGAAGCCUGAUGAAGCAACGCCGCGUGCGGGAUGACGGCCUUCGGGUUGUAAACCGAUGUCGCCUGUGACGAAGCGUGAGUGACGGUAAUGGGUAAAGAAGCACCGGCUAACUACGUG
rnacentral:rRNA from 1 species